CAAUACUUAAUGAAAUUUAUAUUUUUUAGCAUUAAUUGUCUAAAUUCCUGAACCUUAAUCAAAUGUUCACUUACCUCUGUUUGCACCAUUUGUGGCCAAACUCUAUGCAUGUCAUACACAGUGUUAUAUAAAUCCACAGUUUUUCCUUCUUCGCUUUGUUGUAUAAUGUUAUCUAGCGUGACAAAAAGACCUGUCCUUCCAGCACUAAAGAAAAAAAAAGAUUUAGAAACAAUACCAGGUGUGACAGAUCCAUCUGUAUAGACUAAGAUUGCUGGUUCAUCUGUUUUGCCUCUUUUCGUGGAAUUACCUGUCCGUAUGCCCCUGUUCGUUUGUUUGACUUUUUUACCGAAUGAACUUACUGAACGGACUGCCACCCAGAAGAGAAGUGUGCUGCUGGUUAACCUCUUGAUCCCAAUUAGAAGGUUGUGGUUAGCUGCAGACACCUCUUAAUUAUAGCCGAAUACAGGGUAGUCGUCGUUCGUAUGUCGACCACGAGGCGGUGUCCAUUUUAAACCAUGCAAAAGACCAGCGGUGUCCGGCACAGAUUGGAACUGAAAACGGACACUUUUUCUGCCGAACACCGCUAAAACCACAGACUGCCCUUCUCAGUCGACAAAGGCAUGCGAACACCAGCCGUUCGGGAGUUUGGACUACACAAAUGGACUUAACCCAGAUAGCCUUCCCAUGGAGUCAAUCGCAUACCGAAAGACUGUAAAAGACUUUGACUCCAUGGCGAUUAAACUGUGUGUAUGGGAUCUGGGAGGAAACCGUGAUGCAUGCUGGGAAUAUUAUGUGCCUGUGUGUUCUAACAUGCUAUAUGUCUGUCUGCCAUUACAGUCUCCCAUUUGGUCCCCUAGGGGAGUGUCCACCAAGUGGGAGACCUGCAUAAAUACGGGCGGGUAGCCCACAGUAAACCCAGUUCUUGUUUUACCCUCAAUGCGGAGCUUGGUCUCGUUAUUGGGGGGAUUUACUACACACGAAUAGCGACUGAUUGAUGGAAGUGUAAGCCGUUUGGAGGAUAUAUUGAUUCGGCUGUUAGCAGCGAUUCGCGUGGUUACCGUUCGAGAGUAGGAGCACCCGUAUGGGUCCAGUUCGGGAGGUUGGCGCAUUCCCCUGCUUGCAGUUCGUACGAUUGGAGUCCGUAUGAAUGAAGGUUGCAUGAUUUGCGAGAGGGGAGGAUUAACUAAAUGGUGGUUUUGACUAUUUGAUGCUGAGGGUGCCGUUACACCUGGGUGUGAU